rnacentral:rRNA from 1 species
CAUUGACUACUUACACGAACAAUCCGCCAGGGAACUACGAGCCUCAGCUUAAAACCCAAAGGACUUGGCGGUGCCCUAAACCCACCUAGAGGAGCCUGUUCUAUAAUCGAUAACCCCCGCUUAACCUCACCACUUCUUGCCAAAACCGCCUAUAUACCACCGUCGCCAGCCCACCCCGUGAGGGAGACACAGUAGGCAGAAUGGCCCCCGCCAAAACGUCAGGUCAAGGUGUAGCGUAUGAAGUGGAAAGAAAUGGGCUACAUUUUCUGACUCAGAACACACGGAAGGUCACUAUGAAACCUGACCUAAAGGAGGAUUUAGUAGUAAAGAAAAACAAGAGAGUUCUCUUUAACUCGGCCCUGGGGCGCGCA